rnacentral:rRNA from 1 species
GGCACGCCUAAUACAUGCAAGUCGAACGAGAAAGCACUUCGGUGUGAGUACAGUGGCGGACGGGUGAGUAACGCGUAGGAAUCUACCUAGUAGUGGGGGACAACUCGGGGAAACUCGAGCUAAUACCGCAUACGCUCUAAGGAGGAAAGUGGGGGACCUUUGGGCCUCACGCUAUCAGAGGAGCCUGCGUUAGAUUAGCUAGUUGGUGAGGUAAAGGCUCACCAAGGCUACGAUCUAUAGCUGGUCUGAGAGGACGAUCAGCCACACUGGAACUGAGACACGGUCCAGACUCCUACGGGAGGCAGCAGUAGGGAAUCUUGGGCAAUGGGCGAAAGCCUGACCCAGCGAUGCCGCGUGUGCGAAGAAGGCCUUAGGGUUGUAAAGCACUUUCAGUUGCGAAGAAAAGCUGCGAUCUAAUACAUCGCGGUCUUGACGUUAACAACAGAAGAAGUACCGGCUAACUCCGUGCCAGCAGCCGCGGUAAUACGGAGGGUACGAACGUUAAUCGGAAUUACUGGGCGUAAAGCGCGCGUAGGCGGUUUGAUAAGUGGGAUGUGAAAGCCCCGGGCUCAACCUGGGAACUGCAUUCCAAACUGUCAGACUAGAGUGUGGUAGAGGGAGGUAGAAUUUCCUGUGUAGCGGUGAAAUGCGUAGAUAUAGGAAGGAAUACCGAUGGCGAAGGCAGCCUCCUGGACCAACACUGACGCUGAGGUGCGAAAGCGUGGGGAGCAAACAGGAUUAGAUACCCUGGUAGUCCACGCCGUAAACGAUGAGAACUAGCCGUUGGGGCCUUUAAGGCUUUGGUGGCGCAGCUAACGCGAUAAGUUCUCCGC